AUUGAACGCUGGCGGCAGGCCUAACACAUGCAAGUCGAACGGUAACAGGAAGAAGCUUGCUUCUUUGCUGACGAGUGGCGGACGGGUGAGUAAUGUCUGGGAAACUGCCUGAUGGAGGGGGAUAACUACUGGAAACGGUAGCUAAUACCGCAUAACGUCGCAAGACCAAAGAGGGGGACCUUCGGGCCUCUUGCCAUCGGAUGUGCCCAGAUGGGAUUAGCGAGUAGGUGGGGUAACGGCUCACCUAGGCGACGAUCCCUAGCUGGUCUGAGAGGAUGACCAGCCACACUGGAACUGAGACACGGUCCAGACUCCUACGGGAGGCAGCAGUGGGGAAUAUUGCACAAUGGGCGCAAGCCUGAUGCAGCCAUGCCGCGUGUAUGAAGAAGGCCUUCGGGUUGUAAAGUACUUUCAGCGGGGAGGAAGGGAGUAAAGUUAAUACCUUUGCUCAUUGACGUUACCCGCAGAAGAAGCACCGGCUAACUCCGU
rnacentral:rRNA from 1 species